rnacentral:lncRNA from 1 species
UUCACUCUAAAGUAACUUAUAUGCUAGUCGAUCCAUACAUCGAUUACCUCAUAAUAACGUAAAUAAAAUAUCUAUGGAGUGUAAAAAUGAAAUUUAAAUAACCCUGUAGCUUAAAAUUCUAUCUCUUCUUCAAAUAUUUCCAUCUUUUCAUCUACCUACACAACAAUGAGUAGGUAUCCACAUGGAAACAUAUGAAGCGGGGUUAUGGUUGCUAACCAAUCUCUUUAAUUUUGGGAGAACAACAAUGGAAAAAGCGGAAAAAGUGGAUGAGAAAUAUUAAAUUUGAUGAAGAAAGUUAUUAUGCAUGCUUUAUGUCCACAUCAAGAAAACUAAAUUUGCUGGUGCUAAAAAUAAAGGCUAGCUAUUUGAAUAUGUCUUCCAUAUAGAUAUAGAUUUUAUGUCACCUAAACUAAAUGAAAAUAAUAUGUUCAGAAUUCAACUUUUCAUUUUAUCAAAAUAUAAAUAAAUAAUAAAUAUGUUAAGAAUAGCUUCUAUAUAUCCACAUUAAUGUUUUUCUCCCUAUAUAUAUGAACGUGUUGCUUUUACCUUA